rnacentral:lncRNA from 1 species
UGCCUUCUGGGCUGAGGGCGGGGGUUUAAGAAGGAAAACGUGAGAAACAUGCCGGAGUGGUACAGAAGGGGUCUGCGUGUCUCUUUCCAAUGGUAACCUUGAGUAAUUGCCCAUCUGGAGGUCUGUUUUGCAUUAUCCUGACUUGGGUCUGGUAGUGGUGGGCUAACUGUUUGAAACACCCCUUAAGUGGGAGGAUUCCCCAGCUGGGGCCCUCGGCCUGGUUUGUUUCAAAAUUGGCCCCUGGAAUUUCCAAGCAAGUACAAAAUUAAAUAAGUGAGUACUGUUCAUGGAAGUCCCUACCGAGAAAGGGAGAAACAAAGAGUUUCAAAGUAUGUUUCAGGCUGAAAACAAAAAAGAAAACAAACAAACAAAAAAGCUUGAAAAUGCAUUUUGAGGCUGUGAUCUUCCGUUACAAGACUGUGGUCUGAAGACCAGUGGGGGUUCCUGACUUUUGUAAGAACUGCAAUGAGGCCCACUCUGCAUUGAGACCUGGAAGGCUCCAAGAGCUGGCCUCCCACAGCAUCUGACUGAAAGCUUUAAUGCCUGUAACUGACAGCUGUAUAAACGGAAUUGAGGACUUCGGUGCAGGGGAAGGGAGCAAAAAUAAAUUUACUGACAAAAUAAAAAUCGAGUUGUACUAUGGUAUGAAAAAUUGCUGAUGUUGUCACAUGUGGCAUCUCUUUAUUCCCAAUGAAUAAAGUAGGCUCUUUAACACCAAAACAAGGGGAAAGGUCAGUUCUAUUGAGAAGCAAGUUGUGCGUUGAUCGUCUUUGGUGAGCCUGUUAU